GACGAGCGCUGGCGGCGCGCUUAACACAUGCAAGUCGAGCGAUGAAAUUUCGACAGAUCCCUUCGGGGUGAAGAUGAAAUGGAUUAGCGGCGGACGGGUGAGUAACACGUGAGUAACCUGCCUUUGACAUUGGGAUAGCCUCGGGAAACUGGGAUUAAUACCAAAUGACACUAACUGAUCACAUGAUCAAUUAGUCAAAGAAAUUCGGUCAAAGAUGGACUCGCGGCUGAUUAGCUAGUUGGUGAGGUAACGGCCCACCAAGGCGACGAUCAGUAGCCGGCCUGAGAGGGUGAUCGGCCACAUUGGAACUGAGACACGGUCCAAACUCCUACGGGAGGCAGCAGUGGGGAAUAUUGCACAAUGGGGGAAACCCUGAUGCAGCGACGCCGCGUGAGCGAAGAAGGCCUUCGGGUCGUAAAGCUCUUUUAUGAGGGAAGAUAAUGACGGUACCUCAAGAAAAAGCCCCGGCUAACUACGUG
rnacentral:rRNA from 1 species